CGGCGGACUAGGCUGGGGGGUUCGGCGUCCCCUGGAACCCGAAACCGUCGAUAUGCGGGGGCCGAAGCCCGGGGGGCGGCUCCUGAAGCCGCUCACUUGACCCCUGGGGGAGUGAUGAUUCCUCGUCCCACGGGGCUGGCGGUGAGCCAGGUACGGCUGGAGGGCCGUGCUAAGGCUCUUUAUCCGCUGAACCCCGCAAGGCCCGGAAGGGAGCAGCGGUAGGCGGAACGUGCAGCGCUCGUGGGGUAGCGGGGGAGAACAAGCCCAGGGCAAAAGGGAGCGGUGGAGGGUUCCCACCCCCGGGUGUGUCCGCCG
rnacentral:SRP_RNA from 1 species